rnacentral:rRNA from 1 species
AAUGAACGCUGGCGGCAUGCCUUACACAUGCAAGUCGAACGGUAGCAUGACCUAGCUUGCUAGGUUGAUGGCGAGUGGCGAACGGGUGAGUAAUGCAUCGGAACGUGCCUUUUAGUGGGGGAUAACGUAGCGAAAGUUACGCUAAUACCGCAUAUUCUCUGAGGAGGAAAGCAGGGGACCUUCGGGCCUUGCGCUAGAAGAGCGGCCGAUGUCGGAUUAGCUAGUUGGUGAGGUAAAGGCUCACCAAGGCAACGAUCCGUAGCGGGUCUGAGAGGAUGAUCCGCCACACUGGGACUGAGACACGGCCCAGACUCCUACGGGAGGCAGCAGUGGGGAAUUUUGGACAAUGGGCGCAAGCCUGAUCCAGCCAUGCCGCGUGAGUGAAGAAGGCCUUCGGGUUGUAAAGCUCUUUCGGCUGGGAAGAAAUCGCACCCUCUAAUACAGGGUGUGGAUGACGGUACCAGCAUAAGAAGCACCGGCUAACUACGUG